CACUCUGGGUUAGUCAGGACCUAAGGCGAGGCCGAACGGCGUAGUCGAUGGACAACCGGUGAAUAAUCCGGUACUGAUUUAGGGUAGUGCAGAGGGACGGAGAAGGCAAAUGUCAGCCGGAUGUUGGUUACCGGUUCAACUGUCAAGACGUAGAGGGUUGGUGAAAACAGCCCGAGUUGAGGCAGGAGUACGACUCCCUACGGGGAGGAAGUGGCAUAGUCUAGCUUCCAAGAAAAGCUCUAAACACGUUAACUCUAAAUUACCUGUACCCGAAACCGACACAGGUGGGGAGGUUGAGAAUACCAAGGGGCGCGAGAUAACUCUCUCUAAGGAACUCGGCAAAAUGGCCCCGUAACUUCGGAAGAAGGGGUGCCCACCUUAAAAGUGGGUCGCAGUGAAGAGAUCCAGGCGACUGUUUACCAAAAACACAGGUCUCCGCAAAGUCAAUAGACGCAGUAUGGGGGCUGACGCCUGCCCAGUGCCGGAAGGUUAAGGAAGUUGGUCAGGGAGUAAUCCUAAAGCUGACGACCGAAGCCCCGGUGAACGGCGGCCGUAACUAUAACGGUCCUAAGGUAGCGAAAUUCCUUGUCGGGUAAGUUCCGACCUGCACGAAUGGCAUAAUGAUGGCCAGGCUGUCUCCACCCGAGACUCAGUGAAAUUGAAAUCGCCGUGAAGAUGCGGUGUACCCGCGGCUAGACGGAAAGACCCCGUGAACCUUUACUAUAGCUUGACACUGAACAUUGAAUUUUGAUGUGUAGGAUAGGUGGGAGACUUAGAAGUAGGAACGCCAGUUUCUAUGGAGUCGACCUUGAAAUACCACCCUUUAACGUUUGAUGUUCUAACGAAGAUUACGAAACGUGGUCUCGGACAGUGUCUGGUGGGUAGUUUGACUGGGGCGGUCUCCUCCCAAAGAGUAACGGAGGAGCACGAAGGUUUGCUAAUGACGGUCGGACAUCGUCAGGUUAGUGCAAUGGUAUAAGCAAGCUUAACUGCGAGACAGACAAGUCGAGCAGGUACGAAAGUAGGUCAUAGUGAUCCGGUGGUUCUGAAUGGAAGGGCCAUCGCUCAACGGAUAAAAGCUACCCUGGGGAUAACAGGCUUAUCUCCCCCAAGAGUUCACAUCGACGGGGAGGUUUGGCACCUCGAUGUCGGCUCGUCGCAUCCUGGGGCUGUAGUCGGUCCCAAGGGUUGGGCUGUUCGCCCAUUAAAGCGGCACGCGAGCUGGGUUCAGAACGUCGUGAGACAGUUCGGUCCCUAUCCGUCGCGGGCGUAGGAAAUUUGAGAGGAUCUGCUCCUAGUACGAGAGGACCAGAGUGGACUUACCGCUGGUGUACCAGUUGUCUUGCCAAAGGCAUCGCUGGGUAGCUAUGUAGGGAAGGGAUAAACGCUGAAAGCAUCUAAGUGUGAAACCCACCUCAAGAUGAGAUUUCCCAUGAUUUUAUAUCAGUAAGAGCCCUGAGAGAUGAUCAGGUAGAUAGGUUAGAAGUGGAAGUGUGGCGACACAUGUAGCGGACUAAUACUAAUAGCUCGAGGAC
rnacentral:rRNA from 1 species